AACGAACGCUGGCGGCGUGCCUAACACAUGCAAGUCGUGCGGGAAAGCGGGGGGCAACUCCGCAAGUACAGCGGCGCACGGGUGAGUAACACGUAGGUAACCUACCUCAGAGCCUGGGAUAACCUGUCGAAAGACGGGCUAAUACCGGAUAAGACCACGAGGGCUGCGGUCCUUGGGGCAAAUGGUGGCCUCUACUUGUAAGCUACCACUCAGAGAUGGGCCUGCGCGCCAUAGCUUGUUGGCGGGGUAACGGCCCGACCAAGGCGAAGAUGGCUAGCUGGUCUGAGAGGAUGGCCAGCCACACUGGGACUGAGACACGGCCCAGACUCCUACGGGAGGCAGCAGUGGGAAUAUUGCGCAAUGGGCGAAAGCCUGACGCAGCGACGCCGCGUGGGUGAUGAAGGCC
rnacentral:rRNA from 1 species